rnacentral:rRNA from 1 species
UACGUAGGGUGCAAGCGUUAAUCGGAAUUAUUGGGCGUAAAGAGCUCGUAGGCGGUGUGUCGCGUCGGCCGUGAAAACCUGCAGCUUAACUGUGGGCUUGCGGUCGAUACGGGCAUCACUGGAGUUCGGCAGGGGAGACUGGAAUUCCUGGUGUAGCGGUGAAAUGCGCAGAUAUCAGGAGGAACACCGGUGGCGAAGGCGGGUCUCUGGGCCGAUACUGACGCUGAGGAGCGAAAGCGUGGGGAGCGAACAGG